AAACUCAAAUAUUCAUUUUUUUUCCAUUUUUAACAGAUACAAAACAAAAUAAUAGUAGAGGUUUAAUUAAACCUAAAAUUCAGAAUAAAAUUCAGGUUCAAUUAUACACCUAUAGUUAUUUUGUUUUGGAUCUGUUAAAAUUGGAUAAAAAAUGAUUUUUUUUAGUU
rnacentral:pre_miRNA from 1 species